UCUCCGUUGAUGAACCAGCGGAGGGAUCAUUACUGAGUUUACAACUCCCAAACCCAAUGUGAACCAUACCAAACUGUUGCCUCGGCGGGGUCACGCCCCGGGUGCGUCGCAGCCCCGGAACCAGGCGCCCGCCGGAGGGACCAACCAAACUCUUUCUGUAGUCCCCUCGCGGACGUUAUUUUUACAGCUCUGAGCAAAAAUUCAAAAUGAAUCAAAACUUUCAACAACGGAUCUCUUGGUUCUG
rnacentral:misc_RNA from 1 species